AGAAUUCUCUCAAUUCUGAUGCCCUUUGACCUCUGCCACACAAUGCCAAGACAAACCCAGACCCCAGGCCCUGGAAACAGAGGAGGGGCAGGUAAGCAACCAGAGGCAGGAAAGGAAAAAUGGGAAGGUUUUCUCAGAGUUAACUUUCUCUAACCUUGAAGCCGAAUCCAGGGGCAGGAGCAGGAGUCAACUCUGAGAAGACGUGAUAGAGCUUCAGCAACAUGGAGAGGAGAUAGCCGGUCUGGCUAGGAUGGAAGAAAUGUACAUGGAGAAGAAAGACAGAAGAACCAUCACUGAGCACUAAACUAAUCAGCCAUAAUGUGCAGAUUGACUGGCAAGCCUAUCACCACCUUGAUAACAGAUGACAUUAAAGAGAAAGUAUCAAUGUGAGGAUUAAAUGGGAUGAAAAAUAAAACAUCUGUCGGAGUGCCUGGAAUAUGAGCCUAGUAGAGCACCCAGCACACAGUAGGCUCUUAAUACAUGCUUGGGAUGAUUGAGGCAUUUUCUUCCACCAUAUUCCAUGAUCUUCUAGCCCUGGGGGUGCAGAGAGAUUACCUGGCCAAGAAGACUAGGGGUAAAGUACUUUUCUUACCUGGUACACAAAUAUCCAAGAUUGGAAAGAAGAAAGAAAAUGACGACAGAAUUUUGCAGUCUACAAGGCAAACACUGCCAUUCAUGUAGUUAUGGAGUUCCUACUAUGUGCAGACAAUGGGAAACUUUACGAAGUGGAUGGAGCAGCAUCAGCCAUGGCUCAGGAAUGCAGCCGCCUACUUUCCUGUUAUCAGCAGGCAUUCCUGUGGUUACACUAUUCCUGCUUAGCUUAUCAAUGGCCCUUGGGAACACAGAGUCAGCACCCAAAGAGGGCCAGAACAGCCUGCUUGUUGGACGCCCAUCCACACCAUGAGGCUUUCCUGGAUGUAGAGGGAAGUUACUGUUCCUCGGGAAAACCCCUCUUCCCAGCUGGGUUUUAAAAAGCAGCAGGUUUAAGAGCUGACCAUAUCUGAAAGACUCUAGAAUAGCAGAGGAUUGAUUAAAGGGACACAGAGGUUCAUGUGAUGUAAUAAGAAAGAAAUAAAGGAAGCUUUAUCUGCCGCUCUUUCAACCUCAUCCACUCAACACUUACCCCGUGACAGACCCCAAUACUCUUAAUGAAUUCCCAAGGUUACGAAAGAACUUGGAAGAUCUUACAUUCCUACAUGGUGAUUACAGAGGCUCACAUUUUGCCAAGUCAUAUGCAGGUGGCUGAAAAAUGUGAUCUAACGUCCUUGAACACAUUUAUUACAAUCCAUCAUCUACAUGGCAACAGUCAGGGCCAUGCUCAUAAACCAGAACUGGUGCUAGAUCUGCACUAAAUGAUAUCAGCUGGUCAAUGUAUCAAUGAAGCUUCUCCUGCAAAAAAUGUCUCCCUUAUUUUGGUUUCAUUUGAUGCCACAAUGGACAUGCCUUUUGCCUUCUACCAUGAUUGUGAGGCCUCCCCAGCCAUGUGGAACUGUGAGUCCAUUAAAACUCUUUUUGUUUAUAAAUUACGCUGUCUUGGGUAUGUCUUUAUCAGCAAUGUGAAAACAGACUAAUACACUCUCUGACUCC
rnacentral:lncRNA from 1 species